GCUACGGCCAUACCAGCCUGGGUACGCCCGAUCUCGUCUGAUCUCGGAAGCUAAGCAGGGUCGGGCCUGGUUAGUACUUGGAUGGGAGACGGCCUGGGAAUACCAGGUGCUGUAAGCA
rnacentral:rRNA from 1 species